ACGCUGGCGGCGUGCCUAAUACAUGCAAGUCGAACGGAGCACUGAAUUCGGUUUGGUGUUUAGUGGCGAACGGGUGAGUAACGCGUGAGGAACCUGACCCACAGAGGGGGAUAACACCUGGAAACGGGUGCUAAUACCGCAUAAGACCACGGUGGCGCAUGCUACAGGGGUCAAAGGAGCAAUCCGCUGAGGGAGGGACUCGCGUCCCAUUAGAUAGUUGGUGAGGUAACGGCCCACCAAGUCAGCGAUGGGUAGCCGAGCUGAGAGGCUGAUCGGCCACACUGGAACUGAGACACGGUCCAGACUCCUACGGGAGGCAGCAGUAGGGAAUAUUGGGCAAUGGGGGAAACCCUGACCCAGCAACGCCGCGUGAGGGAAGAAGGUUUUCGGAUUGUAAACCUCUGUCCUAUGUGACGAAGGAAGUGACGGUAGCAUAGGAGGAAGCCCCGGCUAACUACGUGCCAGCCGCGGC
rnacentral:rRNA from 1 species